AUUGAUAUGUUAACAAAUAACAACAUAGAAUAAUUAGGCCCUAAAAAUGUUUAAAUAAAUAAUAGGCCCCAUACUAAUGUAUCACAUGUAUGGGGUCAAACCGGGCCUACUUAUUUAUAAGGCAAUCAAAAACCAUAAAACAUAUUAUGAUCAUUGUCCGAAAACCAAUUCAUAAUCCAACUAGGAAUCAAAUAACUUGUUGCUUAAGGUUUCUUUAAGCUAACUUCAACAUCUUUAUCUUCUUCUUCUUUUUUUUUUUUCUAGGCAAAGCGCAAGGAACUUCUGCAAUAUGUCCAAGGUGCAACUGGAGGGCUUAAAACCAGUGCUGAUCUUGCAAGGUAUUAUUGGAUCAGAAUCUUUUAUACACUCUCUGAAUUUUCCUGGCUGAAGCUUUGCGUGGAGUUUUAACAGCCUCCAAGUCUUCAAAAUUUUUCUUUCCCUCGUUUCAAUUCUCAUUUGUGCAUGUCUCAGAAUAGAUACUGAAGACCAAGCUCAUUAGUUAUGGUCUGGGUUUCCAUAUCUUUUUUUUUGUUAUAUUAAAAAGUUCAAAAAACAUGAAAGUUUAACGGGAGACAUGCUCGAAGUAGAAAAAAAAAUUACGAAACAUAGAAAGGUAAAGCCUAUAAGAGGCGAGUCAAGCUCAGCAAGAUGAAUGAAACCUAUGGAGAAGUUUCACCUAAAGAACGUCGAAAUCGACGUUGAUACAGCAAUAAGAAGAGACCAAAGUCCUAACUGACUUGUAUUUGACGCUGAAUAGCACGCAGAAGAGCACACUGUGAACAAAGCUAUUCGAAGAAGAUGAGUACAUAUGACAGUGGCUUGAACAAAUGGACUAGGUUGAAUCCAAUAGUGGGAAUAUGGCCACAUCCACGACAAUGAAAUUAGAGUAGAGCUUGAGGAGGACUUCUAAGGCAGCAGCUAACAUUGAGUUAAGACAAAAGCUUCUAGUUCCAGCAUUACCCUGAUGGAGCCAUGAAAGUUUGUCGAGCUGCCGGUCUUCGAACUCAGAACUCAGAACUCAGAACUCAGAACUCAGUUCAGCCACAUGAGCAUCAUUGAGUAAAUAAGGUACAGCUGUUGAUAUUGUUGCCAUCUUCCAUUCGAUAAUUGUAUAUGAUACUGAUAGGCACAAGAACUUUGUCGAAUGGAGUGGUGGAUGGGGUCGUGGUAGGAGACCACAUAAAAAACCUUCUGGGCCAGGAAAUGUGUUAGGAUGUCGGGAUCUUGCUCGGAGAGAGAUGAAACAAGUUCGCCUGUGAGCUCGACAUAGGAGACUCGAGACGGCGUAGCAGUGGGACGACCUCUCGUCUAGGAGCUUGUUCCAGAGGAGGUAAGGGUGGCGGUGUGUGCGACAAUAGAUCUGGCCAGCGGAGCUCAGCUAUACGAAGGGGUGGAGAGACCAACGCAAGACAUGAUGGAGGCUUGAGGAUAGAUACAGUGAAGAAGAGACCCGAAACCUCAUGUAGUACUUCACGAACUGAUACAGAAUAUACAUCUUCACAAUGCACGACGACGACACGGAGCGGACGCGGAAUGGCGGUGAUGCCGCCGGAGCUUCUUGCUUGAAACGGCUCCUCGAAAAGCGGACCCGAGAGAAACUUGAAACCACUUUGUUUGUUAUUUUUUUAUGUCUGUUGCUUAGUGGGUUUCCAGCUAUUGUUGCUGUUAUUUAUUUGUAUAGAACCGUGCUUAUUAAGUCUUAAUAUUGUAGUUUUUUUUUUUUUCACACACUAAGAAAUCUUUAUUGCAAGUAUCUUCAUGAUUUUUGUAUACAUUUCUGAUUUAUCAAUCAAUCCCUGUGAGAUGUGCCAAAAACUUGGGUUGUUCGAAGCUAGAAGCACUCUUACUGAAGAAGAAAUCAUUAAGAAAUGGUGAUUCCCUUCAACGCCACAGUGAGAAGGUAAAAAACUCGAAACUUUUUCCGCUUUUGUUGGUUUGUUUGUUUGUAACUGUCCCAUACAUAGUUUUCUUACCGUAAAGACUGAUUAUUAGCUUGUUUUUCAAAAAUAUUGGAAUACAAAGAUUUAUUUGGCAACAUUUGAACUCUGUUACAUAUUGCCUUGAUGUCACUAAUGUUCGACCUCACAUACCUAAUUCCUAGCUAUUUAAAUGUUGGUUUCGACGUGGGUCAGAAUUUUCAUUCUUUAUUUUGCAGAUUGAUAAACUGAAAUGUUCUGUCCGAAUCUUUACUCAAUUCAACCUCUAAAGAAGAAAAACGAAUCGUGGAUCAUAGGUGAGAGCAAAUGUAACAGGCUUAUGAUCUCGUUGAUCCUGCUGACUGUUGGUUUGUGAAAAUUGUAAAAUGUUUAUUACGUUGAUCCUGACUUUCCGAGAUGUGUUUCUUCACAGUGAGCUUUACUUAAUGAUGACUCCUGUUUCUUUUUGUUGAAGUCUGAUCAAUGUUUGUGUUGUUUUGACACUUUGUGAAUGUCUGAUCAUGGUAACUUUUGAGAGAACCUUUACUCUUUUUUUUUUCUUUUUUCUUUUCAGCAGAAACACUGUUAGUAGGAUUGUUUUUUCUUAACCAAAGAGAGGUGGCUUUUGUGUGUUAGUUUGUGGUUAAUGUAGCUUUUUCGUCUCUGGGAUUUUACUUAUGAGUUUGUGCUUUGUGAAUUGCAUUUUGUUAUGUUGUGCAGUACAUUCAUGGUUUAAUUAGCUGCUAGAGGAGUUCAUUCUAUUCAUCGCGCAGGACCCACUCUCCAAGAUCUUGGCUUCUUUCUUCUUCCGGAGCUUGGUCAAGAGAGAAGCUACAUAAGUGAGACUGUGUUCACUAGUGUAUUUGUUUCCUUUUUCCUGUGGACUUUCCAUCCAUUCAUCCUGAAAAGCAAAAUAAUAUACACCGUCUUGAUUUGGUGCAGAGUUGUAGCAUUCUUAUUUGUAAUUCCCCUGCCUUACUAGUUACUAUGGUUCAAGCUUGCUGAGUCUUAUCAAUUUUUCACUUUAUCGAUGUUUCUGUUUACAGUUCUCUCCGUGUUAUAACAUUCUAUUCAACUCAGCUUCCUGGCCCAAACUACCACUGUCGUGAGGUAUAAAGCAACUGAGAUUCUAAACACAAAGGUCUCCAGUGUCCUAAUCAACUAAAGCUUAUAUGUGUUGCUACAGGCCAGGCUGCCAUGUGCCAUGGCCCAAAAACCAUCUUCUUUUUUUUCUUUCCCUCACACGCAUUUUCUUAUGUGGAGACCUGAUUUUUCUCAUCUCACAUGAUAUUUACUCUAGUCUUUGUCCACACUUACCAGAAGUACGGCACUAAAAGGUUCAUAAAGCUGUUUGGGUGGCUCACUGCUCUCGUGCAGAGCCUCUUGAUCAUUGCCUCCCGUAAACAUUACACUGUCGAUGUCGUUGUUGCAUGGUA